AACGAACGCUGGCGGCAUGCCUAACACAUGCAAGUCGAACGAGACCUUCGGGUCUAGUGGCGCACGGGUGCGUAACGCGUGGGAACCUGCCUUUAGGUUCGGAAUAACUCAGAGAAAUUUGAGCUAAUACCGGAUGAUGUCUUCGGACCAAAGAUUUAUCGCCUUUAGAUGGGCCCGCGUUGGAUUAGCUAGUUGGUGGGGUAAAGGCCUACCAAGGCGACGAUCCAUAGCUGGUCUGAGAGGAUGAUCAGCCACACUGGGACUGAGACACGGCCCAGACUCCUACGGGAGGCAGCAGUGGGGAAUAUUGGACAAUGGGCGAAAGCCUGAUCCAGCAAUGCCGCGUGAGUGAUGAGGGCCUUAGGGUUGUAAAGCUCUUUUAACCGAGAUGAUAAUGACAGUAUCGGGAGAAUAAGCUCCGGCUAACUCCGUG
rnacentral:rRNA from 1 species